GAUGAACGCUGGCGGCGUGCCUAAUACAUGCAAGUCGAGCGAACAGAUGGGGAGCUUGCUCCUCUGACGUUAGCGGCGGACGGGUGAGUAACACGUGGAUAACCUACCUAUAAGACUGGGAUAACUUCGGGAAACCGGAGCUAAUACCGGAUAAUAUAUUGAACCGCAUGGUUCAAUAGUGAAAGACGGUUUUGCUGUCACUUAUAGAUGGAUCCGCGCCGCAUUAGCUAGUUGGUAAGGUAACGGCUUACCAAGGCAACGAUGCGUAGCCGACCUGAGAGGGUGAUCGGCCACACUGGAACUGAGACACGGUCCAGACUCCUACGGGAGGCAGCAGUAGGGAAUCUUCCGCAAUGGGCGAAAGCCUGACGGAGCAACGCCGCGUGAGUGAUGAAGGUCUUUGGAUCGUAAAACUCUGUUAUUAGGGAAGAACAAAUGUGUAAGUAACUAUGCACGUCUUGACGGUACCUAAUCAGAAAGCCACGGCUAACUACGUG
rnacentral:rRNA from 1 species